GUCUGGUUGGAUUUCAACUAGCUGGUUGGAUAGCUUCAGGGGUAAAAUGGGAUAGCUGUUGGUCCUUCGAUGUCCACAUCUGGAGGCUUCGACUGUUUUACACAGCCAUAGUUCACCGACUUCAGUUUUCGCUUCCAUUCUUCACCUAACCAUUGGUUCACUUCCUUCAUCCCCCUCUACAGCAGCUCCGGUUCCAUCUUCCUCCAACCACCAACCACCGGCUACGGCGACCACUCCUCCUCCUUUCUCUCUCUCCCUUGCUCGCGCUCUCGCUUUUUCUCUCUCAAACACCCACAGAGCUCUGUCUCAGUUUGUUUGCUUUGGCUGUUUUCCGUUCUGGGUUGAGGUGAUUUUAUCAUUAAGAUGCCAAUGUUGACUGCUCCAAAUACAAUUGUUAGCUCGCCUCUAUUGCCAGCAGGUGGUCUUUUGUUGCUUUGGAUAGAGCAGUUUGGUUGGUGUUUUCGGUUAUGUUAAGCAGGAGGUGCUGUUUAACUGUUUUUUAGACUGUUUGGUAGCUCUUCCCAUUGAUGCUAGACAACAGUUAUCAAUCUGUUGCUUGGGGUUUUAAAUUUCUGUGCAUAAUGCGUAAAAGGACUAGAGAUAGCAAACGAAAUCAGAUGAGGCAAGAAGCUCAUAGUUUUGCCAUUUCAAAUGGUAUAGAAAUCUCUUAUGAAAGUGUUUGUCUUGCCGAUGAUAAACAUAAAACCAGAGAAGAAAAUGUGUCAGAUUCUGACAAUUUACUAAUUAUUGGUUUGAAGAAGAAAAAAGCCCAAGCCAGUUCCAAAAUUGCCUCUCCUACUUCCACAUGAGAGUUUAUGCUCUUUCCUUUUCAAUUCAUUCAUCUCAUUAAUGUACACAUUAUAUACAUAAUAUUUCAUUGUUCACAACUUAUUUCCCCACUCAA